GCUUCUGCUCAGCUGGUAGAGUACAGUAUGAGACUCUCAAUCUCAAGGUUGUAGGUUCGAGCCCCACAUUGGACA